GUCUUAGGGAGGUCCCGCGGGCAGCUGUGGGGCACGACCCGGCGGGGCCUGUGCUCAUCCUGCUUCUGAGACGGUUGCCGCGGUCGAGUCAUCGUCGAUUGUUCCUGACAAUUCAGGCAUUGCGCACAGGGCAGAUGGCAAACUAGAUCGGGCUGUGAUAGCUGUAGCCGCCCCUUCAUCCUCCCGGUUUUGACGGCGGCACUGAUCUCCGCAGUUCCCCAUCAGGGAGCCGUGUGCACGAGCUGGAGCUGUCAGUAGAGGGCGCUGGAGGACGCGGCAGCAGGAAUGGGCUGCUCUCCCUAGCUGCAAUGUGCUGUGGCGCUUAUCCUUGCUCGUGCUUCACGGUCCGUCAGCAGUGUGAGUGUGUGAGGACCCUCAGUGGUGCUCUGCCCCGGCCACGUGCCCAGAAUGCACAAUCUCUUAGUUGACUCCACAGCCCCAGCCCGAUGACCACUUUGCUGCAGUCCUCCCAACGGGGACAGCGCCAGCAGCGGUGCCCUGACUCGCUCUGAGCACCUGCCUCCAGCCUUGGUUUGCUUGUGCUGCAGAGAGGGGUUUCCCAUGGCCCUCUCGACAUGGACCGUGCUGGACAACCAGGCCACACGCCACGCUGACAUCACUCGAGGUCCUGAUGCAGUCUCUGUAUGCUGUCACCCAGGGGCCUCGAAUUGCCUGAACCCAAGGCUUCCUUCCUGCUGCCUGGGCACCCAGCAACCUCUCCCUUAUGCAGCGCUCUGCAACCGCACCUCCCCCUACGAGGGCUGCACCUGAGCCUCGGGAGGGAGGGGCCUCCCUUCCCGCUCUGUCCCUCCUGGGUGCUCUCCCUCAGUCCUAGGCACCCUUGAAUUCUCUCUACAUCUUUAUAGUUACUCGCCAAUCAUAGUUGAGUAACUCUUUAUAUUAAACUUUUCCCGUUGAAAUAUCAUGUGGUUUGUCCCUCCAUAGGACCCAGACUGGUAAGAGAUUAAACAGUAUGUCCAGAAUCUGUGCUUAAUGCUCCCAUGCUAUUAAGACUUUGGCAGUCCUCGUAGUCAUGCCUCUGUAACGGUCAUCAUGGAACCAUGGUCAACAUGUGGACGGGCCUUCAGCAAAUGCUCAAAUCCGGCUCAACAUCAGAGAGUGCAUACCAGAGGAAAACCCGAAUGAAUACAAUAACUGUGCACAGGCCUUUAACCAAGUUAACAGCUUAUUCACUCAACACCACUCAAUAAAUACUGGGAGGAACUCUCUAAGUGUGUUGUUGUGGAGAGGGAUUUAGCUGAAGCCCCACAUUCACCCAGCAUUGUACGGGAGAGAAACCGCAAGGAUGUAACAAAUAGGAAAAGGCCUUUAGGAACAGCUCUGCUUUAACAAACUCAAAGGAGCCUGGAGAGAAGCUUUUUGAAUGUAGCCAGUGUGGGGAGAGUUUUAGCCAAGCUCAAACUUUAUUCAAUUCCUAGAGAACUUACAUCAUAAAGAAAUUGGGGUAAGGUUGAGGAUAUAAUGCCACGAAGCAGGAAGAGAUAAUCAGAAAUGUAUUUCAUAUAUUUCAUUAAAUGUGAUAACCUUUGA
ensembl:lncRNA